CCUUUCAACAAAUGAACAGCGGUUUAAUAUUUCAGUUCACAUCAGCUUCAUAAUAAUAAGAAUCUCCUUUGCCAUUAUAAGUGCAGUUGUUUUGUAUCUAGAAUAAUAACACGUGAGGCCUUGUGAAUAUGACAAAUCUCUUGCGGAUUUAAGCAGUGCUGAACUUCAGUGCUCAUCACACUUCCACAUGAAUUGUUCUCAUCCAACCAUCACUUUUUUCUGUCCUAUUAUGAAGUGUGUGUAAAAAACAGCAGUAAUGAUUUGUUUCUGCAGUCAUAAACCGUGAAGCCUUGAAGAGCGUGACUCCAUCCUAACAAUAAUCCUGGAUAUCCUACAGCACAUACUGUGGCUGAUAAGGCCCAUUAGAGCUCAUUUUUACCCAGACCUCAGUGUCAUCCCCUGUUAUUGAACGCUACAGCAGCAGGUGACAAGAUUUCACUCAGCGUGCAGAUGAAAAUCUCUCCCACAGGGCCAACACAACCAUCAAAGGCCUGACCAAAUAUUAAGGAGGCCUUUUAUUAGCUUCGCACUUUACUGAAUGGAUAGAGGAAGUGUUGGAUUCAAGUCUCCGGAGUCCCAUGAAACGAUAUUGACAUUAUAUGAACACAGUUGGUGCCGAGGCUCGGGAUGAUUUGUUGUGAUUAUUGAAGUGAUUUGAAGUGUGUUAUUGAGGAAGCCCCCUCACCAGACAUUCCGUACUUCACUUUGGUCACUUCUCUGCUUUG